ACUUAUGGCCUUCCCACCCUGUCUGCACCUGAUGUCGUCUGAUCUCAGAAGCCAAGCAAGUUCUUGCCUGGUUAGUACUUGGAUGGGAGACUGCCUGUGAAUACCAGGUGCUGUAAGCU
rnacentral:rRNA from 1 species